UCACAUUACUGCCGCCUCCACUCUCCUCUCCUGCCAAAUCCUUUACCCAUUUCCCCUUUUUCUUAUUUCCUUUCCUCAUCUCCUCCAUCUAUCUUCUUUAUCUAAUCUAAAUCAAAUAAAAAACCUUAAAAUUCUCCUCUAUCCCUCAUCAAAUUAUAUAGAAAAACCCACAAACACUACCACCGUAAAUUGUCUCUGCUUCUACGGCCACAACCGUCUACCACGCUUGCUUCCAUCAACGGCCACGAGCGUCUCCACCGUGUGGUAACCAAACCCUAAUUAUAUUUCAAGGACAAUCAGCUUACUAUAUUUUGGCUUUUGAACAGAUCUUUGUUCAUGAUAAUAAGGUCUACUAUACAUGGAUAGGAUAAAGAUGAGCCAAAGUGAAGAACAUUUUUUAUUUUUAUUUGUUUUUACGUUUUAAUUUAAGAUACAUUGAUGAUAAUGUAAAUGAAUAAAUGAAAAACAGUUGAUGUAAUUUUAUCAUAUCUAUAUUUAAAGUUUUAAAUUUCUUUGUUUA